UUUGCUGUGUCACUGCAAACAGUCAAGGCUGUGCGGACUGGCUGACUGAGGACCUGUUUUCUUAAAAUAUUUUUACCUGAGGAUAGACUUCAUCCACUGACCUCUGCAGAACUCUCGGGGGUGUUCAGUUGAAAAGAGAAGAAGAAAGAAAAAAGAUGGAAAACAAUCUUGAGGAGGAAGAGAGCAUCACCCUGUCGGAGGUCAGACUCAUCCUGAUUGGUGGGAGAUGGGCUGGCAAGAGCUCCUCUGGCAACACCAUACUGAGAAAGGAAAGGUUUGAGUGCGGUCGAACCAGAACAGGACGGAAAAGAGACGGAGGAGGGCAGGAACAAAGACAACAAAUGCAAACACUCAUUCCAGGUGAAUGUGGCAGUAGGUGCACUCAAACAAACACUUCUUUUAUAUAUAUAUACACAUAUAUACAUAUAUACAUAUAUACACAUAUAUACAUAUAUACAUAUAUAUACAUAUAUAUGCACAUAUAUAUACAUAUAUAUAUACAUAUAUACAUAUAUACAUAUAUAUACAUAUAUAUGCACAUAUAUAUACAUAUAUAUAUACAUAUAUACAUAUAUACAUAUAUAUACAUAUAUAUGCACAUAUAUAUACAUAUAUAUAUACAUAUAUACAUAUAUAUACAUAUUUUUAUACAUAUAUACACAUAUUUUUUUAUAUAUAUAUACAUAUAUAUAUAUAUAUAUAUAUAUAUAUAUAUAUAUAUAUAUAUAUAUAUAUAAACUUCGCCCUUCACCCUCCGCGGGUGGUCUCGUCCCCUUCGAGCUCGGGUCCUCUACCAGAGGCCUGGGAGCUUGAGGGUUCUGCGCAGUAUCUUUGCUGUUCCCAGUACUGCACUCUGGACUGAGAUGUCUGGUGUUCUUCCAGGGAUCUGCUGUAGCCACUCCUCCAGUUUGGGGGUCACUGCUCCGAGUGCUCCGAUGACCACGCGCACCACUGUCGCCUUCACCUUCCAGGCCUUCUCCAGCUCUUCUCUGAGCCCUUGGUAUUUCUCUAGUUUCUCAUGUUCCUUUUUCCUGAUGUUGCCAUCACUUGGUAUUGCCACGUCAACCACAACGGCUUUCCUCUGCUGAUUUGGGAUAAUGAUUCCAGAAAUAGAUUACAGGAGCUGAGGAAAGUGAUGCUUGGUCAGAAGACAUUUGGAAAGAGUGCAACAGGAAAUAACCUCCUGCGUAAAGAAGUGUCCGCCACCUGUCAGAAUAAGCACUGUCAGGUGGGGGAGGGCGAAGUUGCUGGCAGAUUGAUCACAGUGAUCGACACCCUGGGCUGGUGGAAGGAGCCCUCCCGCUGCACUGAAGAGAUGGACAAAGAAAUUGUCCGAGGUCUGUCGUUGAGCCCAUUAGAGGUUCAUGCUGUUCUGCUGGUUGUCCCCUUGGACCUGACGUUCAGAGAAGCUCGGCAGGUCGCCCUAGAGGAACACAUGAACCUCCUUGAUGCCAGCGUCUGGAAACACACCAUGGUUCUGUUCACAUACGGAGACAAACUAGCAGAUAAAUCCACACAUUGAAAGGGAGUAUAGCGCUCUAUGCUGGUUGGUAGACAAGUGUGAGAACAAAUACCACACUGUGAACAAUAUGAAGAAAACUGAUAUGAGUCAGGUUACUGAACUGUUUGAGAAGAUAGAGGAAAUGGUGGCAGGGGACAGCGGCCAGCUCUUCUGCUCUGACAUGAAUGACACCCACCUGAGAAUUAAUGAGAAGUUCAGGAGGAGGUGCAUGUGCUAAAGCAACGACUGGAGGAGACAUGCAGGAGGAGAGAGCUGGAGCUGAUGAUGGGCUUCAAGGAAACUCCCCGAGCUGCAAGCUGAGAUCAGGGGAAGCGUGAAAAGCACUAAAUCCAAGUCACUGAUUGUUAGUUGGUGACAUGACCAAAAUCAAAGCCAAAGGUUUUGGUCAGAGGAAGAAAGAUGGAAAGGAGAAGGAGGAAACCAUCAAUGCAAAAAUCAACCAGGAAAUUGACAAGCUGGAUAAGGACAUAAUGAGAUCCACAGAUGUUCUUCGGAGCAGCAAAGAGUUCUUGCUUCCAAGCUGUAAGUUAAAAAGGUAUUAUAAUUUCUAGCACUCACAAUAGUACUGAGUAUGAAGUCACAGUCAGUUUUUGUGUAAUUUACAGUGUAAGGAGAAAUCCCAGCACCAUCUAUCGCUGGGUCUUUAUCAGACAGGAAAACAUUAACCAGCCAUUUUUAUAAAGUUCUACAGUGGCUGUCCGCACUUCAGAUCGGCACUAAUGUCGGCCGGCCCCCAUAACUUCUCUCAGACGUCAGGAUACAGAUCUGUGCUACCACACGACGACGACUUGGACUGUGACUUUGACAUAGAAGCUGAUAUUCCUGAAUGAAUAGUCUCAAUAGGCGGAUGUAAUAGAAAAUGCAUUUUAGCAAUGCAGAACUUGCACACAGGGAAUUUUUAAUGGUCUAAGAAAAGGGAAGGCCUACGUUAAACAUCAUUCCUGCAAAAGAGCACUUGUGCUAAGCCAAAGUGUACUAAUAAAGGUUAGACAGCCAGACAGCCAGAUAGACAGAUAGAUAGAUAGAUAGAUAGAUAGAUAGAUAGAUAGAUAGCAUAAUAUAACGGAAAACCAAGUUUAUUCACUGUCACAAGUGUUGAUUCAGUUCUGUGGUAAUUUGGGGGCUGUAGUUAGAAGUGUUCUUCUUUUGCGGGGUUCUUAUUAGCUACACCUUAUAAUAUAACAUUUCAAUCAUUAAACUGUACUAGAUUUCCCAUUCUUUUUAGGUGAUUUAUAUAUCCCUGUCUUCACAACAAUACAUUAAUUACACAAUAUGUUGUCUUUAUACAGUACCAAACAUGUUCUUUGAUGCGAUAGCCAAUUGCAAUGGACAAAGGUGUCUCAGUCUGACUUGUAUAGAGACUUUUUGCUGUAAUGCAGUUUUAUUUUAUUUGCCUGAGAAAGUAAUUCAAGGUGAAGGGAAGGCAAUCUGAAAACUGUCUCACCGGAUUUGUAUUCAUGUGGAAGCUACAGAAUGUCCCCACCGAGCUGAUAAAAUUCAGCAUGUAAUGUAAUUUGUUUCUCCAUUUUGAAGAGGAAAGAUUAAAUCUGCAAUUGAAUGUCACAGUGUACUUGGAAUUUUCCACUAAAUGAAUAAAACAAAUGAGGUUAUGGAGUAGAAUGGUUGCGUACAGUAUUUAUUUACAUUCAGAAAUGAAAAUAUCAGUUGAGUAUGUCAUGUAACUUUAUUAGAUGGGUCCUGCUUCUUCUACUUCUGUUACAGCAAUAAUAAAUAAUGUUUUUAUUAUUAUGAAUGAAUUGAAUUGCAAUUACACUUUGCAUAAAUUAUCAUCAUUAUCAUAAAUUGUAAACUGGACAGUAACAAAAGAAAAAAAUGUUUUAGGCGGCUCUUUAUUAAAAAGCUUUUUAUUUCAAAAGUCACUGGUGCCUGGAUACUGCAGUUAUUAUUAAACUUGAAUCUUCUGACAGGGAA